UUUUGUACAAUGGGGGAAACCCUGAUCCAGCCAUCCCGCGUGUCUGAUGAAGGCCUUCGGGUUGUAACGUACUUUUGUCUGAGCAGACAAGAUACUGCCUAAUACGAGGUACUGCGCACGGUAUCAGCAGAAUAAGCCCGGGCUAAUUACGCGCCAGCAGCCGCGGUAAUACGUAGGGUGCAAGCGUUAAGCGGAAUUACUGGGCGUAAAGCGUGUGUAGGCGGUUCGGAAAGAAAGAUGUGAAAUCCAAGGGCUCAACCUUGGAACUGCAUUUUUAACUGCCGAGCUAGAGUAUGUCAGAGGGGGGUAGAAUUCCACGUGUAGCAGUGAAAUGCGUAGAUAUGUGGAGGAAUACCGAUGGCGAAGGCAGCCCCCUGGGAUAAUACUGACGCUCAGACACGAAAGCGUGGGGAGCAAACA
rnacentral:rRNA from 1 species